UCCCUGGUAGUAUAUCGGUUAGUACACGCGCCUGUCAUUAGAAACAACUGGUAAACCUGUGUACCGCGCGAAAGCUGGGUUCGACUCCCAGCCAGGGAG